UAAUGUGCACGUUUAUUUUUUCAUUCUUUUAUUAUUCUGAGAGUCCAGUGAAGUUGAAAAAUUGUGGCCAAAUGUUACUGAUAUUACUGUGAGAGUAAUCUAUCCUGAAGAUUUUUAAUAACACCGAGGGCAAUCUUAGCCACUAGGUAUCACAGUUUCUGUUUCGAAGAAGAGACAAGAAUUUUAUCUGUAAAUCAGCCAGGCAGAAUACCAGAACGUCUCUUUGAAAUUGAUGCAUGGUAAAAUAGCUGAAUAUAUCAGAAAGAAGUCUGCACUCAAAUUAUUCUCCCUAGUUCACAAGCAGAGGUAUAGGAAUUUGCAUAAUUUGCUAUCCAGGCUUAAUUUACCCUACAAUGCCUGCUUUGUUUAAACUCUGCUUUGUAAAUGGUCUUCAAGGCCAGGAAAAGUAGUUUGUAAGGCCAGUUACCUGUUUGUGCUGAAGGAAGAAAGAUAUGAAGAAAAAUUUCAAGCAGUGCUUGAGAAAAAAAAAAAUUACUCUAAAGAACAGUUGGCAUUUCCAAUAAGAGAGGCAUCAGAAACCCUAAAAGACCUUAUCUCAUCCCUCUCAGCUACCAGAUUCAGUACUUCUCCCAGUAACAUGAAAAGAAGGAAAAGAAUAACGCAGGUAAGAAGGUACCCAUGACUCCCUAGUUGGCAUGUAGCUGCAGCCUAGCAAUGGCAGAACACAACCUCAUUGUCUGGAGUGACUGAGGGUCCAUGGCAACACAGUGGAGAACUCUAGCAUGGAAAUUUAAAAAGCCACAAGUGAGAACAGUACUCAAAGAGAAGUGUCAGGCACCAUAGGGAACGUGCUCUCUCUUCCUGAAUUCAGAAGCAAAAGGAGCUGCAAGCAAAUCGAUCCAAGUACUUUGUGAAAGACAGAGCUGAGAGGGUGAAAGCCUUCUGUAUGGCAUGAGAGGCACAGGUAACAACAAGAUCUUACUGAAUCCUGUGGGACUUCUGUAAAGAAAUCUUGGGCAUGUCUACAGUGAAGUCACUUCAGAAGAACAUCGAGGCAGAUUUACUGUGAGGAAGAGGACAAGAUGCCAGUAGCUGUCCCACAUGCAAGGUGCUCAGUUUGCUGUCUUCUCUCCUUACUCAAGAAAGAUGAGAAUAAAUUCAAAGGCAUGA